GGGUAUAGACCCGAAACCCGGUGAUCUAGCCAUGGGCAGGUUGAAGGUUGGGUAACACUAACUGGAGGACCGAACCGACUAAUGUUGAAAAAUUAGCGGAUGACUUGUGGCUGGGGGUGAAAGGCCAAUCAAACCGGGAGAUAGCUGGUUCUCCCCGAAAGCUAUUUAGGUAGCGCCUCGUGAAUUCAUCUCCGGGGGUAGAGCACUGUUUCGGCAAGGGGGUCAUCCCGACUUACCAACCCGAUGCAAACUGCGAAUACCGGAGAAUGUUAUCACGGGAGACACACGGCGGGUGCUAACGUCCGUCGUGAAGAGGGAAACAACCCAGACCGCCAGCUAAGGUCCCAAAGUCAUGGUUAAGUGGGAAACGAUGUGGGAAGGCCCAGACAGCCAGGAUGUUGGCUUAGAAGCAGCCAUCAUUUAAAGAAAGCGUAAUAGCUCACUGGUCGAGUCGGCCUGCGCGGAAGAUGUAACGGGGCUAAACCAUGCACCGAAGCUGCGGCAGCGACACUGUGUGUUGUUGGGUAGGGGAGCGU
rnacentral:rRNA from 1 species